GAUGAACGCUGGCGGCGUGCCUAAUACAUGCAAGUCGAGCGAACGGACGAGAAGCUUGCUUCUCUGAUGUUAGCGGCGGACGGGUGAGUAACACGUGGAUAACCUACCUAUAAGACUGGGAUAACUUCGGGAAACCGGAGCUAAUACCGGAUAAUAUUUUGAACCGCAUGGUUCAAAAGUGAAAGACGGUCUUGCUGUCACUUAUAGAUGGAUCCGCGCUGCAUUAGCUAGUUGGUAAGGUAACGGCUUACCAAGGCAACGAUGCAUAGCCGACCUGAGAGGGUGAUCGGCCACACUGGAACUGAGACACGGUCCAGACUCCUACGGGAGGCAGCAGUAGGGAAUCUUCCGCAAUGGGCGAAAGCCUGACGGAGCAACGCCGCGUGAGUGAUGAAGUUCUUCGGAUCGUAAAACUCUGUUAUGAGGGAAGAACAUAUGUGUAAGUAACUGUGCACAUCUUGACGGUACCUAAUCAGAAAGCCACGGCUAACUACGUG
rnacentral:rRNA from 1 species